rnacentral:rRNA from 1 species
AUGCCGGGGCUCCUCGCCUACUCGGGCGCCGGGCUGGGCCUCCUGGCCCUGGCGGCGCUCGAGGCCCUCCAGCCGCGCCUCCGGCCGCUCCCGCUCCUCCCGCGCCGCCUCUCCACGCCGCGGCACCACCGUCACCUCCUCGCCGCGCUGCUCUCCGCGCUCUGCCUCCUCUCGGCGCUGCUCUCCGCGCACCACCUCGCGCUGCCCACGCUCGCCGCCUCCGCGCUCUUCCUGCUCCACUCCCUCGCCCCGUUCGCGUUCGCGCGGCUCGCCGCCCCGCCACCGCCGCCGCUGCUCGACCUCCUCCUCGCCGCGGCCUUCGGGCAGGAGCUGCUGCUCUUCGCGCACCGCCGCCCCUCCACCGCCGCCGGCAUCGAGAACCGCUACUUCGACCUCUUCCUCGUCCCCGUCGUCGUCUGCCUCGGCGCCACCCUGCUCGCCGCGCACCGCCCGGGGGCCGCGCCGCCCCGCCUCGCCCGCGCCGCGGGGAUCGCCCUGCAGGGCACCUGGAUGCUGCAGAUGGGCUUCUCCUUCUUCACCGACGCCAUCGCCGCCGGCUGCGCGCUCCACGCGCAGAGCCGGGCGGACUACACCAUCAAGUGCCGCACCCACGAGGACUACCACCGCGCGCGCUCCGUCGCCACGCUGCAGUUCAACGGCCACCUCGCGCUGCUCGUGCUCGCCGGGGCGGCCACGUACGCUGCUGUCAUCUCCAGAGGGAACGGCAGUCCACCGAGCGGCUACAGGAUGCUGGGCAAGGAAGUGCAGAUGGAGGGCAUGCCAUUGACAUCUCAGUUCACCCUGGAUUCGGAUGAGGAGAAGGAAGAUGAAGGGAUCGCAACCGCAGAGCCACCGGUGGCGAGUGGGGUGAACUCACAUCGCCAGAUCUCCGAGCAGACACCUGAUGAUCCCAAGUGA